CUCUGCUUCACUCCAGCCGUCGCCGCCUCGCGUCCGGUUCUUCUCCCCUUCUCUCUCUUCGCCGAGCUCGCCGCCGCCGCUGCUCGCCUCGUCCCCUCGCGCCUCCAACCCCUAGCCUCCCCUUCUCCUCCUCCCGUCCUCUCCUCCGCCGCUCGGUCGCCGUGCCCGUGCUGCUCAACCUCCGCCAUCUUCUCCUACUCCAGCGCCUCAUCCCCUGAUCUCACGUGCUCGGCCUCCAUCCCGUUCCCCUGCCUGGCGGCGCUCUCUACCGCUGUCGUCGCUACGUAUUCUCCUCCCCGACCAUCGACCUCAGGCCGCCGCUCCGUCCCCCGUCCCCAUCGCAGCCCUCCUCGAGCAGCAGGACAGGCGGCGGCCAGAUCCACCACGACCGCCGCAGUUCGUCCGGAUACGCGCCCACCCCAGUUGCUGGUGCGCCACUGCUGCCGUUCUCGUGCGACCGCGCAGCUCCUCUGCUCCAACCCUGUCAAGUCUUGGAGGAGAUGCUGGAGAACCUGAGAUGCGAUUCUUCGGCCCCAACAAGCUCCAGGACAAGGAGGGCGACAAGUUCCUUCUUGGGUCCAACGCAGGGGUGUCAUAAAUGCUGCUCAGAGGAAGCUCCUUGAUGAGCUGGGCAUCCCGGAUGAAAAUGUGCCCAUUGACCAGUUCAUUCCUCUCAGUCGGAUGCUUUACAGGGUGUCGGCUGUAGAGACAGAAGAGGAGGUUGACACAUCCUCGGCGCCUACUGCAGCGACCACGACCACAUGUAUCUAAAAGAGAGGAACUAACUAAAUGACAGACAUAUUCCUAGCUUUGGAAAGAAAUAAUGACCAGGAUAUAUCAAGAAAAUGCUCUUAUCUUGCUACAGUUUGUUUUCACUAUUUUUUAUUAAAAGAACAAGAUGCUUUCUUUGACCGUUAAUUAUAUCUUGUAGUAUAAUAAUUGGUGUUGAUGCAUGAUAGCAUAUUUUUUGUGAGAUAGUUUAAUCAUCCUCUGUUGAUCAGGGUAUUUAACAUUGCUUAUGUAACAUGACAAAAUAAGCUAUGUUUUUCUCUGAAUUCUAAACGGUAUUUAUCAUGUUUUCUGAGGUUUUUAAUUGUUGCAAAUACGGUAGUUGUGACUGGUUGGUGAGAAAUACCUUGAGAUUUAUCUUCCUGUCAAGUGCUACUGGUGUUACGAUGAUGCAAAUAACCUUUUCUGUUGCACAUGGUAUAUUUGUUUAGAUUGCAGUUUUAGCUUCCUCCACUCUUUGCUCUGAUUAGGUUAAUUUCUAACAAAUAUUUAGAUGUGCUUAUAUUAUGUGUAAUUUCUUUGGCCAGAAUUUAGAGGAAUAAAUCAUCUUUCUGAUAAAUUGUUUCUUGCGCAGAAUAAUUGCAAUGCUUAAAAAUAUUGUUCUUGAUAUAUACUCCCUCCAUCGGGUAGAUACAUCCGUUUGAGGGACAAGUACUUCCGGACUGAGGGAGUAGUAUGUAAGCUCGUGAUUCAUUUGGUUAAGCAUAUAGCCCUCCGUUUCAUCCGCGGAACAGUCACAUUCUACUUGCUCAUUGAACCUUCUGUUGCUUUAUGUGUGCAAACAUUUAUUUUAAGUGAUGCUUCAUGCCUCACAUGAUAAAUUGCUGAAUCAACCGACAUAUAACCGCUGGGUUUGUGUUUCCUGGUCUUACCUUGGUUUUCUGAAUAUAUAUAUUGAUUAUCCCUAUUUGGUUAAUGAUGUGCAUAGUCAUUCCAUUCUUAUGUUUUAUUAGUCGCCUUCCGCUUCCCGGUGACCCCUUUCUAUUCACUACUACUAUGUAGCCAUUUCAUUCCUGGGUUCAUAUGUUUUGUUGCAAUGCUACGAAGAAUCACAAAGACUAUUCACUAAUCAUUCACUUUCUUUUGUUCCUACAACCUGCAUUUGCAUAAGCUGGAUUUUGUUUUUUCCCUACUUUAAACACCAAUAGACUGGUAAUUCUUAAUGUUCAGCUUAUUUGUUUUUUCAGAGAUUGUUUCUAUGGAUUUCCUUUCUUAUGGAUCAGAAGGCAUGGGUGCAGGCAACACCAAUUGUAGUGUUAAAUAGAUGGCCCGUGCUGUUGCUUCGUUGAAUUUUAACGCGUUCCUUGAGAAAGCAAAGUUGAAAGAUGAUGGUAGCAAUUACACGGACUGGGUCUGUAAUUUGAGGAUUAUCCUCAUUGUUGCACAGAAGAAUUACGUCCUGGAAGCACCGCUGGGUGCCAGGCCUGCUGCAGGAGCAACACCAGAUGUUAUGAACGUCUGGCAGAGCAAAGCUGAUGACUACUCGAUAGUUCAGUGUGCCAUGCUUUACGGCUUAGAACCGGGACUUCAACGACGUUUUGAACGUCAUGGAGCAUAUGAGAUGUUCCAGGGGUUGAAGUUAAUAUUUCAAGCAAAUGCCCGGAUUGAGAGAUAUGAAGUCUCCAAUAAGUUCUACAGCUGCAAGAUGGAGGAGAAUAGUUCUGCCAGUGAGCAUAUACUCAAAAUGUCUGGGUAUAAUAAUCACUUGAUUCAACUGGGAGUUAAUCUUCCGGAUGAUAGCGUCAUUGACAUAAUUCUUCAAUCACUGCCACCAAGCUACAAGAGCUUCGUAAUGAACUAUAAUAUGCAAGGGAUAGAAAAGACGAUUCCCAAGCUCUUCGCAAUGCUAAAGGCUGCGGAGGUAGAAAUCAAGAAGGAGCAUCAAGUGUUGAUGGUCAACAAGACCACUAGUUUCAAGAAAAAGGGCAAAGGGAAGAAGAAGGGGAACUUCAAGAAGAACAACAAGCAAAUUGCUGCUCAGGAGAAGAAACCCAAGUCUGGACCUAAGCCUGAGACUGAGUGCUUCUACUGCAAGCAAACUGGUCACUGGAAGCGGAACUGCCCG
rnacentral:rRNA from 1 species